rnacentral:lncRNA from 1 species
GAGUUUCCGCAGAUGAGCCGCGGGAAAGGAGACGAGGGGCGGUGGCCAGGCGGUUGCCCUGACAACGGGGAACCGACCGACUCUUCCCGGUAGGGAGAGGCGAUGGCGGAAUUACUCCUCUAAUGUCAAGGUAUUCUAAUCACAGAAUUACUGGAGCAUCAAGAAGUGCCUGCAUGCUUGGAAGGGCUUCCAGGCAGAUGAACACACCUCAGCACCGGGUGGCAUUUUCCCAGGGUGCAACCCGGACCGGCUCUGGGUCACACUGACAAGCCUCUCCGACUCCCCAGGCUGGGUUGGGUGCUCCUCCCUCUCAUCCCACAGCGCUAUGUCUCAUGUCUUCUGGAAAACUUGCCAAUCCCUAGUGACAACAGGGUUAACAAUUUCCAGAGACAGCCCGUACAUAGAAGGAAUGUUUACUGAAAAAAAUGAAGAGGGGUCAGGGCAAGGCGAGGAGCAAGAAGCACCCCCAAGGAAACAGAGAAGACCAGUACAACUGUACCUCUUUGCCAGCUGCACCAUCCGUACCAGUCUCCUGGGGUGGAAGUGUCCAGCACAGAGACUGCCACACUGCAAGACGAAGGGGCUGGACACACGGAAGAGAGAGGCGGAACCCUGCACCCCCUCAACCUCAGCCCUACUGAGUCUCCAAUGGGGCCACGCUUCUGAGUGCACCUCCCCGUGUCAUCUGUAAUGUGAGGGGGAACCAGGCUUGAUAUGGCAUUCCCAAUCCAGGGCCUCUGGACCCCUUGAGAUGCAU